rnacentral:lncRNA from 1 species
GGGAAGUAUCUCUAAUUGGAGACUGUCUUCUUUGGAAAGUUCAGCAAAGCCCUUAUCCUUUGAAAGGGAUAUUCAAACAAACAAACAAAAACUGAAAAAAAAAACCAUGAAACCAUUUGAAGGUACAGAAGAUUUGUGAAGUACCGACUUUUAGAAAGAGACUCUGGUAAUUUUCAAAGGUAAAGAAUAAAAGAAUGACAUUCUCCCCUUUUAAAAACUCCUGAACAUGCCAUUUUUCCAAAAGAUAUGAACUGCGAGCACCAUCCAGUGGCAAUGGAAGUACCAAUGAAAUUCUGGAACAUCAGGAAAAACUACAGUCCAGCAAUAAUACUAUAAUCUCUGUCCUGCAG